UCAAUAUCAAGUUUCCUAAAGAUUUUAUGAGCCUAAAAGUGAAAGUAUUUAGGUAGAAGAUUUGAAAUUAAAAGUUUAAAAUAUUACAGAUCGUACAAGAUGAAGUUCGUGCUAUUGUUGAUUGUCGUUACUACUUUUUACUUUUCAUUUGCAGAUGCUGAACCUGUUCAUGACACAGCGGCACGUAAUGCUAUAGACAGUGAGAAGAUAGAAAGACCUAAACGAUUUUUACAUAUGAUUUAUGGUCGUUGUGCCAUUAUUGGUGAAAAAUGUAGCCUUGUUCAACAUUGCUGUGAUCCUUUUGAUUGUAAUGGUCGAAACAGAUGGGGGUUUUUUGGUGCAAAAUGUAAACUUUUCUAAGUAACAUGACGUCUACCAUUUUGAAAUUACUACAAACACAACGUGUAAUAACAAAACAAAUGUUAUAGAAGUUUUCUGUCUAGAUUUAAUAUACAAGACAAAAAAGAGAAUUUGUAAAUCAGUAAGAAAACUUGUUCAAUAAUGACAUACCUUAAUUUACAUUGUAUUGCUUAUUUGUAUAUUAUCUGAUAAAUAAAAACGUUACAGUCAAUAAACAUUUAUAUAGACA